GGGCCGAGCCCGGCGCAGGGUCCCAGCAGGGAGCGGUUGAAGCGACAGGCGCGUUUGGGGUAGUUGGGGACGCUGUCGUCCGGCUGUUCGUUGUAGCGGCCGGCCGGACAGGCGGCGUUACGGGCGGCCUGGACGCUGUCGUUGUACGCUGCGGCCACGGCAACGCGCUCAGGGGCUGAGCGGUGCUGACCGGUGCUGACCAGUUCUGACCGGUGCUGACCGGUUCUGACCAGUUCUGACCGGUUCUGACCGGUUCUGACCAGUUCUGACCAGUUCUGACCAGUACUGACCAGUUCUAACCGGUUCUAACCAGUACUGACCGGUUCUAACUGAUUCUGACCAGUUCUGACCGGUUCUGACGGGCUCUGACCGGUUCUGACCAGUGCUGACCAGUGCUGACCAGUAACGCACUGGGAGCAGCCCUGAGCCCCAAACCCCAACCCUGGUACCGGCUCGGUCGCUCCCAGUUUGGGUUUGGGUCAUCCCAGUUUGGGUUUGUUCCAUCCCAGUUUGGGUUUGUUCCAUCCCAGUUUGGGUUUGUUCCAUCCCAGUUUGGGUUUGAUCCAUCCCAGUUUGGGUUUGGGUCAUCCCAGUUUGGGUUUGGGUCAUCCCAGUUUGGGUUUGUUCCAUCCCAGUUUGGGUUUGUUCCAUCCCAGUUUGGGUUUGAUCCAUCCCAGU
rnacentral:lncRNA from 1 species